AAACCCUCCUCACCAAGCAACAACAACCAAAAAACCCAGAGUGGCAGAGAAAGGAGGCCCUCAAAGUUAUCAAUUAAAUGAUCUUCCUUUGGUGGCUAAAGAAAUAAUGUUUGGCAAGAGGGUAGCUUUAAAGGAAGAAAAAAGAAAAAGAUGCUUUUCCUAACCAACUUCCUAGUCAUCCUCCGUCAGCAGCAGCUGUAGGAAUCCCUUCUCUGGACAAGGGCAAGGUGCCGAGGGGCCGUUUAACACCUGGCCCCAGCUCCGCUGAAAGCCUGGCCAGUAUCAAACACCGUGGAUCACAGAAAUGUUUAUGGUGGUUAUGAUACAGUGAGCCGGGGGAACGAAAUAUUUCCCACCCAGUAAUAUUUAAUGGAAAUGCUUUUGCUGAGUUGAUGAUAAGGAAUCUCUUCCUGGUGGUCAAAACCAAGGAAUUAGGAACCUAAGAUUUGACAGCUGGAAGAGAGGUAGAACUCCCACUUCCCGAGGUUAAGGAAUAUGAAUUGUGUUCAGAAAUCUUCCCACACUCCCUGGUUAGUACAUCCACUGAUUUAGAAAGUCCCAGGGGCUCUGGAAGUUUCUGAUGAUGGAUCAUCUUUUUUUUUUUUCUCCUUUCUCCCUUUCCUUCAGGGCUCCAGACAGUUGGUGCUUAAGUGUCUACAAUUUAACGUUUUCCUUGGGCUAUCGUAUGUCUACCUAUCCCGCCCAGGACAUCUCCCUAAAUAAUCUCUGAGUAGAGAGGAACGAUCCUCUCCUAGGAGAUUUAUCUGAGAAGGGAGGUGCGCGGGGCCGUGCGAAUUCCGAGGCUCGGAUUUCGUUCCGGGCAGGUCAGAUGGUGCGGUCGGCGGGCCCGAGGGAUGCGCGCAGCUGUCCCCGCAAGAGGCGCGGCGCACAGGUGCUCGGCCUCCCGCCCCCGAAGUCGCAGGGAAGCUGCCGCACAGACACGCGGCUUCUUUGCCUCCAGAACCGAAGUCUAGUGUUGGCCUUUCAACUCAGGUAAGAUUGAAAACAAGCCUUAUGUGGCACAGUCUGUGUCAUCUCCAUGUUACCAUUUGGUGUCACGCAUCACGGGUCACAUCACUAAUUUGAUAUGUAGUUGUUGUUUCCUUUUGCGUCCUAAGUUGUGUCCACCUCUUUUGUGACCCCAUGGACUGUAGCCCGCCAGGCUCUGCUGUCCAUGGGAUUUCCCAGACAAGAAUAUAGGAGUGAGUUGCCAUUUCCUUCUCCAGGGGAUCUUCCUGACCUAUGGAUUGAACAUGCAUCUCCUACAUUGCAAGUGGAUUCUUUACCAACUGAGCCACCAGGGAAGCUCUUUCCUUACUUUUAUUAAUGUCCAUAUUCAUGCUUUGAGAUGAGUGUAUUUCUCAUGAGAUUGUCAGCUCUACACAAAUAAGGCUUUUAUUAGCCCUUUUGUACCGUGCUUUGUAUAUACAAUUAGAAAUAAUAUAAUAGAAUUAUAAGAACUCUAUUUUCUGAGACAUGCACACUUUCAGACUUUGGUUUACUGAGUGAGCAUGGACCAUAACAUAUUAACAAUGUGAUGUGUAUAUGAUUUUAGCUAGUGCUCAAUAUGUGUGAAAUUAUAUACAAAAUUUGAAUGGAAAAACGCUAAGGUCUCACUGUUACCUGCUUCAUGUUAGAAAAUAAUAUCAGAAUAUUAGUUCCAAUAUGUAUAGCCUACAUCUGAUAGAGAUCCUUUAAUUUUUGUUUCUCAAAUUAAAAGCAUUCAAUUUUCUCUAGAAAAUGCUUGUUUCUCUCAACCUCAUUAUGAAAACAUUUUCUGCAUACUUUGCCUAAAAUUACCUUGUUUUUUGUUUUAAUUACACAACUCCAAAUCACUUUUCCUCAUUAGUAUUUGAUAAUUAUAAGCAAAGAAGCAAAUAUAAAAACAAGAAGUCCAUGAGCAGUGCAGUCAUGCAUUUUCUGCUUCUCUCUGUUGAUAGCACUGAUGAAGUGUAUUUAAUUUCAAUCUGCUGAAUGACCACAUUCAUAAUUCGUGUUCAUUUCCAUUCCAGGAUGAUUUCUUUCCAGUUUGAUUCAAUAUACAUAAUUUUUCCUUAAGCAUACAUGUCCACAUUCCUUUGAACUUGUUUUUGUCUGGGGAAGGAGGAAAGAAAUUAACCCUCAUUUUGUAUCUCCUUUUGACACAGCCUGUUUUUGGCACUUGCCACAUAUUACCUCAUUUGAUUCUGUGUACAAUCUUGGGAAGCUGGAAUUAUUAUUCUUACUCUAAAGAUGAAAAACUGAUGGCUAGAAACCAACGUGCCCAAGAUUGUUUAAUUAGGAAAUGGCAGAGCCAGAAUUCAAUAAAACCAUCCUCUUUUGGUUAUUGGUUUUAAUG
ensembl:lncRNA